rnacentral:lncRNA from 1 species
GGUUUUCUGUGUAGUUCAUUGUUUAUUAAUUCCAAAGUAUUUCACAAGAGUUACUCAUUUCUUUUCUAUUGUCAAUAUUGUUUCUCAAAGAUGAAACAGUCUGACCUAGAGAAGCCUCCACUUUUAAGGAUUUGCUCAAGUUACCUCUGUAGUAGAGGAUGUGAUCAACUUGUUUGAAAGCUCCAAGGGUAUGGCAAUACAGAACAAUUUGCAUACAUUUGCAUGAUAUAGUUUGGUUAAUAGAUAUGCUAGUUUCUGGAAGAGCUGUACUAACUCUUCCAGUAUUGUUGUACUUAUGUGGAGUUUGUGAAUUACUUAUACUGUUCUACUUAUUAACAUAUUUUAUGCCUUCUAUUUUGCUUUGUACUUAGUACAAGUUUCUCCAUUUCUUUUAAUACCUCAAUCACAUUCCUCUUCUGUUUUCUGUUAACUUUAUAUUAAAUAUCUACUACUAUUUCUCUCUCUUUCUCUCUGUCUCUGUCUGUCUGUCUGACUGUCUCUCUGUCUCUCUGUGUGUACCUGUGCUUCACACUAUCACAUGUGCAUGGGACUUGCUUUUGCACAGAUUUCCUCUGUGCUCAGAGAAGAAAAAUGUGGAGUAGAGAACCUGCUUUAGUGUGUCACAUAAGUGACCAGAGCCACGGCUACUGAACUAAGUUCCUUUGCUUUAGAGGGAGAUCUAUCUUCCACUUCCACAGACGAAAGAGAAGGAACAUAUACACUGUGCUACACUAUGCAGAGCAAGUGCUCAUUAGUUACUAUAAAAUACCUCUUCUCAAAAAGUGAAGAAUUUCCUAGAGUGAAUAUAAAAUUGUAUAUUUGUGAUCUGACUUCUUAAUUCAGUCACUACUCAGAAUUGAUAUUGAAGGAUAAUCUUAAUUCUAAAUUAAUGUUAGCAGGACAGGAACAUAGCUUGGUGGCACACUUUUGUACCAUACAUGCAGCCCUAUUGAUUCUCUGAUACCAC